rnacentral:rRNA from 1 species
UACGGAGGGUGCAAGCGUUAUCCGGAUUUACUGGGUUUAAAGGGUGUGUAGGCGGACUUUUAAGUCAGCGGUGAAAUCUCCGGGCUCAACCCGGAAACUGCCAUUGAUACUAUUGGUCUUGAAUGUUGUUGAGGUGGGCGGAACGGGUCAUGUAGCGGUGAAGUGCAUAGAUAUGACCCGGAACACCGAUUGCGAAGGCAGCCCACUAAGCAACGAUUGACGCUGAGGCACGAAAGCGUGGGGAUCAAACAGG